rnacentral:rRNA from 1 species
UUUCGCAAUGCCCGAAAGGGUGACGAAGCGACGCCGCGUGCGGGAAGAAGGCCUUCGGGUUGUAAACCGCUGUCGGGAGUUAGGAAAUGCAAAGAUGUUAAUAGCGUCUUUGCUUGACUAAGGCUUCGGAGGAAGCCACGGCUAACUCCGUGCCAGCAGCCGCGGUAAUACAGAGGCGGCAAGCGUUGUUCGGAAUUAUUGGGCGUAAAGAGCACGUAGGCGGCCGUGUAAGUCGGUUGUGAAAGCCUUCCGCUCAACGGGAGAGCGGCAUCCGAUACUGCAUGGCUCGAGUGCGGGAGGGGAGAGUGGAACUUCUGGUGGAGCGGUGAAAUGCGUAGAUAUCAGAAGGAACACCGGCGGCGAAGGCGACUCUCUGGCCCGUAACUGACGCUGAGUGUGCGAAAGCUAGGGGAGCAUACGGGAUUAGAUACCCCGGUAGUCCUAGCCGUAAACGAUGGGCACUAAGUAGAGGGGUUUU